rnacentral:lncRNA from 1 species
GUUUUCUGAAGAUGGUUUUGUUGGGGUUGGACCUAAUACCAAAGGACAGACAGAACAGAAGAGCAAAUUCUACCUUGCAUCUGCAGUAGCCAUCUAAGCGCCAAGACUGCAGAGAGCAUACUGAUAUUUUUGAGGCGAGAUUCAGAGAGCAAGUGGAAGCUUUAUGACACAGGACUCAUUCCUCAACCACUCUGAGUAGUGAUAGCUGGCAGCAAUGAGGGGUGUCCCUCAUCUGAAGAGAGCCUCCUUGCCAAGAUUGUGCAACCUCAGUGCAACAACCAGCAGAUGCAGACAUAUCAAGGCCUGGCCCUGCUGCCCACUUUCAGCACCACUCCAAAGAGCUCUCCCAGAGCUAAAGCUUCUGUGGAAUUGGCUGAGGCCUUUUUGAGAAGGGACCACAAUUCCACUCUGUCAAAUCCUGCUUCCCUCGUGUUCUCCAAGGACUUCUCUAAUAAACUUCCUGCAUAUAAGCCUCCAAAUCCGAGUUUGCUCUGGAAAUACUGGUCUAUGUCUGUAUGCAACUCCUGAACUACACAGGGAAAAAGAUACCUGAGUCCGGGGCCAGCAGGUGAAUUCCUAAGCAAAUGUGUGGAGGAUCACAUUGGAGGAGAGGGCAAGUAAAUCCAAGCCCAUUAGAGGAUUCAGGUCCAGCAGAUAAUAAAGGACUAGACGCAAGGACUGCCUUUGAAGGAUAAGAUUUCAGUCCUGAGAGAAAGGGGCAAGCAAUAGCCUUAGGCAUAAAUGAUCUAGAUUCCUAAGUAAGCCCAGUGAUUCAAGUAUAGGAGAAUAAAGAAUGCAGGAAGCUAAUUGUUAGAAAUAAAAAAAGCAAGGCAGAAUAGAGUAAGCAAAGGGUCAAAGAAGCUGAGCCCUCAAUCUCUGUCUGGAUCUAGAGAUGCUUAAAUUCAUUCUCCUAAAGGGAUUCCAUGGGUUUUGGGCAGGACCUACAAGGGAGAGCGUAAUGACAAGAACUAUGGAUAUUUAGGGAAAAGGAGCUGAGCUCAUCACAAAACUUGAGGGUUGAAGAAUAAAUGACAGCAACUGGGUUUAAACCUCAACAGGACCUGACAUUUGUGAAGGCAGUUUGUCUCUAAGAUGUAAAUUUGUGUGGUUACUCUAUGUGCAUAACCCCCCACUCAAAUGAGAUCUCACCAAAUGGUUUUUCAUAACACUGCUCUUUCCUCUGUUUAGAUCUAAAGUUAUUGUUUUGCUGUUGGUGUGAAGUAUUCCUUUCCUGUAAUUCCUUUUCUAUGGUUCUUUGAUGUCCUGACACAACUUAACAAAUACUUAAUACUUUAUUAACUUAAUAAUACAAAAUAAAUAUAAAUAUCAAUGUGGUUAACAGAAUCUUAGGAAAUGGGAGUGAUGGCAUACUGCUCAAUUCACCUCCUAAAUGGACAUUCUAAACAAAUCAUGAUUUAAAAAUAAAGAGAAUUUUUCCCACAUGUUGCCCCUGUGACCACCAUUUUAAUUUGGAGAUGUGUGUAUUGGGAGGUCUCCUCCCAGAUUCUCUCUGUGAGCAGUUCUCUGCAUCUUGUGCCAUUCCUAUUGGCAUCUCGGUGCUUAGAAACUUCCCCAGUGGGAGGCCAGGC